rnacentral:misc_RNA from 1 species
CCCAGAGUUGUAGGCUUUGCCUGCUAUCUCUUACCCAUGUCUUUUGAGUACUUACGUUUCCUCGGCGGGUCCGCCCGCCGAUUGGACAAUUUAAACCAUUUGCAGUUGCAAUCAGCGUCUGAAAAACUUUAAUAGUUA